rnacentral:misc_RNA from 1 species
UCUCCGUUGGUGAACCAGCGGAGGGAUCAUUACAGAGUGUAAAAACUCCCAAACCCUUUGUGAACAUACCACUGUUGCCUCGGCGGAGCUGCCGGGAAGCUACCUCGUAGCUACCCUGUAGCCGCCGGCGGACCACCAAACUCUGAUUACUUUGGAUAUCUGAGCGUACUUUUAAAUAAGUCAAAACUUUCAACAACGGAUCUCUUGGUUCUGGCAUCGAUGAAGAACGCAGC